CAACCCUCGAGCCCCCGUGGCCCGGCGUUGGGGAUCUGCCACGGCAGGCCCCUAAAACCAGUGGCGGACCCGAAGGCCCUCUCCUUUGCGCAGUAGCAUCAGCCUCGCAUCGGGAGUCCUCGGCGUCCUGCCUCUAAACCCCCCACAAGCCCGCCUCGGCGGCACCAA
rnacentral:misc_RNA from 1 species